rnacentral:miRNA from 1 species
UUACGUGAGUUAAAUCGUCGA